UUUUAUGUAACCUGAUUUAUUGGGCUCUCGGCGUAUUCUUGCGUUCCUUCUGCACUGGGGCAAGACACCACUGCACUAUUGGACUACGGCAAGCUGGUGCCGUCCGGUGGAGCUUCAUACAGGAACUACUGCCUUACCUGCUGGGGUCACAACGUUGUAUGAAUGCACAAAAAGCGCGGAACGAGCUUUUAUAUAGAGCCAAAUAAAUAUUUCCUCAUUGCACAAAA